GACGAACGCUGGCGGCGUGCUUAACACAUGCAAGUCGAACGGAAAGGCCCUGCUGUUGUGGGGUGCUCGAGUGGCGAACGGGUGAGUAACACGUGAGUAACCUGCCUUUGACUUUGGGAUAACGUCAGGAAACUGGGGCUAAUACCGGAUAGGAGCUCCUGCUGCAUGGUGGGGGUUGGAAAGUUUCGGCGGCUGGGGAUGGACUUGCGGCUUGUCAGAUUGUUGGUGGGGUAGUGGAAUACCAAGGCUUGGACGGGUAGCCGGCCUGAGAGGGUGACAUGACAAGCUAGACUGGGGAUGCGACCCAGACCCGAAUCGUAGGCGACGGAGCAGAGGAGUGCACUAUAGGAGGGGGGCUAAUCUAGCCAAGCCGCGUCGGGGGUGACAAGAAUGCGGUUGGGUUCCAAUGUCCCCUGGACCGGGACGUGAGUGACGGUAAUGGGAGAAGAAGCACCGGCUAACUACGUG
rnacentral:rRNA from 1 species